AACUGCGGUGUGAUAUCACAUUGCCCUUGAAUUACAUUGAAACGACAUCACUACUUUGCAGUACGUUGGUCUUGUGUAAUAUUUACAUAUGAAGCACAAACAAUAUUACACAUAAACAGCUGCAACCACAUCAAUCCGACCUGGUUUAGUGAUAUUACACAAAACCGAUGCUAUUUCACAUUCAACCUCAAUGCGAUAAUAAAUCUCGCAACACUGUCCGCAUGUUGUUGUUCGAUGGUCGACAAACGACAAAGUCAUUUUGUUUAUCAAAGUUGUUCGCGUUUGAAUAUUUAUUUUGUUAGUUUUAUCACGAAAAUUUAAAAAUAAAAUUCGAAAAUUUAGUGAUUUUAGACCACGACUACGUGUAUUAAUUGUGGACCACGAAGAAGCGGUCAUCCGGUGCUUGGGUCAACUCGAUUGAAGAGGGCCGUGGCAGUAAUCCGGAUAGGUCAACCAUCAAUGUGCCCUCGAAAGACGUCAUUCCGAUGCCUCCACUUUUUCCGGCCAUUCCGGAACUUCCUGAACACCUGGCCAGGGGAACAAACCAAAUAUAUGUAGGUGGCACGAAUUUCGAAUUGAUUGCGUCCGAGAAUCGGUUCGGCCAGUUUUGAACCGUCGGUGCAGUGAUCGGUUCCGAUCCGCGCUACAAGAUGGUUUACCCCAGUAUGGUAUCCUGCUCUAUGGGGAAGCUGGUCUUGCCGCCGGCGAUUUUUUCUGGCGAAAGGCAUGCCAAUUUCAAGGAGCUGGAGAAACGGCGGGAUUUGUGAUUGCCACGGGAUACGUUUGCCUUUGUGCAAAGGGAAAUAUUGACCACCAAGGGAGUUGAAUAGAACGAUGUUUACCAUUAUGGAACCAUGAAGGAACUUCGUCAGCAUAUUUGGCUCGAACGGGUCUAAUUCCAGCUACCACAGUGAAGAGGGUGAACGAGUUUGGAUUUCCUGAUCGAGCUGUAAUCACCGUUCUAUUGGCUGCUUUUAGAAAAUCGGAUCUAUAUUUCAUGCAUCAACGACCUUUGGGCCAUACUUUUAUGCCGUAUUUAAUCAUGUAAAUAAUAAUUAAAUAGUGAAUAAUAAAAAAAAAACAAUAUA
rnacentral:lncRNA from 1 species